rnacentral:rRNA from 1 species
GGCCUACGGGGGGCAGCAGUAGGGAAUCUUCCACAAUGGACGAAAGUCUGAUGGAGCAACGCCGCGUGAGUGAAGAAGGGUUUCGGCUCGUAAAGCUCUGUUGGUAGUGAAGAAAGAUAGAGGUAGUAACUGGCCUUUAUUUGACGGUAAUUACUUAGAAAGUCACGGCUAACUACGUGCCAGCAGCCGCGGUAAUACGUAGGGGGCAAGCGUUUUCCGGAUUUAUUGGGCGUAAAGCGAGUGGAAGCGGUUCAAUAAGUCUGAUGUGAAAGCCUUCGGCUCAAACGGAGAAUUGCAUCAGAAAA